rnacentral:rRNA from 1 species
AUUGAACGGCUGGCGGCAGGCUUAACACAUGCAAGUCGAGCGGUAACAGGAAGAAGCUUGCUUCUUUGCUGACGAGCGGCGGACGGGUGAGUAAUGCCUAGGGAAUCUGCCUAGUAGUGGGGGAUAACUUGCCGAAAGGUAAGCUAAUACCGCAUACGUCCUACGGGAGAAAGGAGGGGACCGCAAGGCCUCACGCUAUACGAGCGGCCGAUGUCGGAUUAGCUAGUUGGUAGGGUAAAGGCCUACCAAGGCGACGAUCCGUAGCGGGUCUGAGAGGAUGAUCCGCCACACUGGGACUGAGACACGGCCCAGACUCCUACGGGAGGCAGCAGUGGGGAAUUUUGGACAAUGGACGAAAGUCUGAUCCAGCGACGCCGCGUGGAGGAAGAAGUCCUUCGGGAUGUAAACUCAUGAAGCUAACGAAUAAGACGGAAGGGGAACCUUCCGGGAGAAGGUAAUUAGUGAAAAGCCCCGGCUAACUACGUG